rnacentral:misc_RNA from 1 species
CUCAAUCUUUGCUUUCCCCCACAUCCCAACAAAUCUCCUCUUACACGCUCUCGCUGUUUCUCUCUAUCUGUCUCUCUCUCUGAGCUAGCUAAGCUGCUCUUCUCAGCUUCUAGGGUUUCUUUUCUUUUCCUUCUCCUUUACCAGGGAGCUGAAACGUCACCAAAACCUUCUUCUUAAUCGUGCACAUUUUACCUUUUAAUCUCCACAUUUCACCUCCAUUAUCGCUUUGUAUCUUCAAACGAAAUCCAAGCCCCUCCACACCACCAAUACCAAUCGA